AGGAAGUUCAUAAUAGGAAGUUGCGAUACAAAGCUCCUAGAACUGCUGGAUUGUAAAAAUUGCUCAGCUCUUGGACGUUGUAUGCUUAUGGAAAGUGAUAGUUCGUGCUCUUGAAGAAAAUGCUAGAGCUUCCUACAAUUUGGACAAUCUUUGAACUACAGAGCCGUUUGAGAAAGAACCAAUUCAGAUGCUGAUGAAAAAAGUUGAUGCAUUGAUGAAAGCCAUGGAGUGGAGUCUAUGAAAAUAAAGAAAGAAAGAAGCCGUAGCUAAAGAUAGAGAAG